GUUUUUCAACAAGGUUUCUUUUAUUUAUUUAGCAAGAAAUUACUCUUUAUUGAUCAAAUCACCAGGAAUCUGCCGCAAAAGACUUAACAUCUUAAUGACCACUGAGGCCUGGGCUCUGAGGCUUGCUCUGCCUCUCCCAGUCCUUAAUGGGGUUUAGAGGGAGAGACGUCAUUAACAGAGACCAAGUCAGAUGGUUGCAGGUCCUCCUUUCCCAGUCAUCAGACAAGUUGCUCAAUUCUUGUCCAGAGCAGGAAAGAGCCAGUACUUCAGUAAAAUUGAAUAAAGAAUUUGAUGUUGCAUUAUAAGAUCUCUCUUAACAAUUUAGAUUUAUCAACAAUAUUGGUCCAAAACUCAUUUGCUUCUAAUUUUUUUCAUUUUGCAAUUUACUUUGUGUGUGUGUUACUUUAAUAAUCUCACUCCCUGUGCAGAAAUUAAUCAACCCCGUGCAAAGAAAAAUCCCUCAACCUGGAAUAGCUUCAUCUUACUUUGGCAAGAGAAAACAGAGGUAUUUUUGCUCCUCUUCUACCCAAGUGAUGAACAAAUAUCCCCCCAAAGUUCAAAAUGUUACUCUGGCCUCGGAAUGCAUAUAAAGACUGCUUUAGAUGGGCUGAUUCCAAUCACCUAGAAAGGGCAGCCGGAACCACUAUGCAGGCAGCCUUCUUUGGAAAUUUCUUACAAUCAACUCUUGAGAACCAUCCGUGAUUGUGGACAAUGGCUCUAAGGUCCAAACAACUUCUGUUCUUUCAUCUCACGAGCUAGGCUCAGAGGAGGCAUUUGAACUGUCAGGAGCAAGAACAGCAGCUGUGGCCCCACGAGGCAGGACUUCAAUAACUCGCGGCUUGUCAAUGAUCCGGGCCGUUCGGUUUCCCUUUUCCACAAUGCCAACGAUCCACGCUUGGUGACCCUCUCCGUACUUGGAGGAUUUGAUUUCAGAACAAAAGCGAGCCGCCUGUUCUCUUGGCAGACAAAUCAGUAAUCCCCCAGAGGUUUCAGCUGAGGUUCCUUGAAGAAGCCCAAACCGUCCACUGGCCUUGCUGACGGCAGCCAUCUUGGCAAUUAUUGGCAGAUUAUGAAUAACAAAGGACACUUCAUUUCUUUGUUGUUUUGCAAGGUUCUGGGAGUGUCCUAGAAUGCCAAAGCCUGUGAUAUCUGUGGCCGCAUGGGCAUUAAAUGUGUGCAUUAAACCUGCAGCAGUUCUGUUGAGGGUAGCCAUAUUGAACAUGGCUUCCUGAUAGGCCAGCUCCACCUCUUCUCUGGAGACCACCAUCUUUACUUUAUUCCAUCUUUCAGGAUUAUCCAGCCAUUGGUGGGCAUUGACAGCAACCUGGGUUCCUAACGGUUUGGUUAACACCAGCACGUCCCCAACGACGGCGCUGUCCGGCAUUAUGAACUCAUUUGGUUGGCAUACUACAGUGGCAACUCCACCGAUUAUAAUCCAAGGGUUGACCACCGUUUGCCCACCGGUCACUGCCGUCCCUCCUUCCUCAGCCGCAUCCCGAAAGCCUUUGACCAUGAGUGGCGUUACCUUUUCGCGUUCCUCCUCACUCAUACUCUGGCUGACGCUGAGUAACAUCAACAUGUUGUCACACUCAGUAAUCCCCAUGGCGUAGAGGUCACUCAGCACGUUGGCACAAGCUAUGCGCCCCAUCAUGUAGGGAUCUUCUACCAAGGGGUAAAAGAAGUCCGUGGUCUGCACCAGUGACAGGCCCCCGUGCCUCAGGGGGAUGACGCAGGAGUCCAUCCCGAUGCCCAGGGCUGGAAAGGUGGGGCUGGGCCCGUCAGCCGCCAGCUCGGGCUGAGGCC
rnacentral:lncRNA from 1 species